AAGGGAGGUGUAAAAUUGUUCUCACCCUGUGAAAAUAAUCUAAAAUGUGGAAACUUUUUUUCUGGGAAACAACAAAAUGUUCACAUGAGCAUCUUUAAUGCAGCAGGGCAUCCCCCAUUCAGACACCAGGUCCAAGAUUGGCUGUUUAUAGAAAGAUGGCCUAUAAUCUUCUGGACAUUUAUCUGCUCUAAUUUAUAUACAUAAAGGAGCAGAGGGUGUUUUGGGGUUGGUUGGUGGGGCGGGGGGUUUGCUGAAGGAAAUAUAAGAAAAUGUGUGUUUGUGCGUGUGUGUGCAUGUGUUUGAGUGGGAAUGAAGGAACUGAUCUAGUGUGUCUGUUCAGGGCCCAGGCACUCAGAUUACUCUUUUUCCCCCUCAGUAUAACUCAAUGAGAUUUGAGUGAAAAAGAUCAAUCUCUGGAGAAGUGUUCUGUUUUCUUAUUUGCUUUGUUUUAUUUUUCUUGUGAAAUACAUUGUAAAUGAAAAGCAUAUAAGUAAUGCAUAUUAACAAUUUAAAUAAUUAUUUUACAAAGAAAACCUGUGUACUCGGCAGCCAACUUAAGAAACAGAAACUUUGAUGGCAGAGGUGGGCGGAUUACUUAAGACCAGGAGUUCGAGACCAGCCUGGCCAACAUGGUGAAACUCCAUCUCUACUAAAAUUACAAAAAUUAGCUGGGUGUGGUGGUGCAUGCUUGUAAUCCCAGCUACUUGGGAGGCUGAGGCAGAAGAACCACUUGAACCCAGGAGGCUGAGCUUGCAGUGAUCUGAGAUCCUGCCACUGCACUCCUGCCUUGGCAACAGAAUGAGACACUGUCUCAAAACAAAACAAAAAAAGAAAUAGAAACUUUGCAUCUUUCUCUCCCAUUCCAAUUAAUUACUAUACUGAAGUUUGUAUUAGUAAAUCCUUUGAUUUUCAUUAGUUUGUGUAUCCUUAUUGCUUAAGCAAUAUAUUGUUUAGUUUUGCCUCUUUUUUACCUUUACUGUAUUUUUACUCUUACUAAAUAUAUAUUUCUAUGUCUUGCUUUUUACACUCAAUAUUGUUUGAAGCUUGUCUGUGUUGAUGCAUGUAACUGUAGUCUGCCCAUUUUCCUUGAUGGAUAGCAUUCCGAUAUGUAAAUUACCAACUUGCUCGGAGGUGCAGCCAUUAAAUCCUCAUUUUGAGCAAUCACCCCAAGUAAGACUGAUGCAGGUGGACUUUUGCUCACACUUCGGGAAUUACUGUCUUAGAGGACACAGUCCGAGCUCUUACCUCCCAGUUUCCCAAGUCUCUACAUCAGCCUUUUAAUUUUAGUAGAACUGUUUGUUUUCCUUUUCCAAAAAUAUUUUCUCAUCAUUCUUCGCCUAGAUAAUUCUUAUGCUUUAAGUCUCUCCAUUAAGCUAUAAACUCCUCCAAACAUUGUCAUUAUUAUCAUUGUUGUCACUGACAUUUAUGGAGCAGAUACAGUGUACCAGGUAGUUAGUACAAAGAGUUUUACAUGGAUCAUCUCAUUAAUGCUCGUCCAAACCCAUGAAAAAGGUGCUGGGAUUAGCAUCAUUUUACAGAUAAGGAAGUAAGGGUCAGAGAGAUUAAGUAACUUGCCCAAAGUUAAACAGCUCUGGAAUGUGGAUCUCUUUAACUAUCUUACUUGUCUCUGAACCUCUAGGAUCUAGGGUAGGACUUUGGUGUGUGGAAGGCACUUGAUUAAUGUCUGUUGAGCUGCACUGAAAGGAAAAGCCAAGGAGACCAGAUGGAAAACAAUCCGUUUAGUUCAGAUGAUGGCAGUGGGGAUGGAAAAGAGGAGCUGGAAAUAAGACUUGGCAUGACAGACUAUUACAUAGCUGAAUCUGGGGCGUGAGGUUAGGGCAGGGAAUGAGGAAGGGACAAGGCAUUUCCAUUUUUUCACUUUGAGCACUUCUGUAUUUUCUGGAAAUGUUUACAACAAGCACGUGGUGCUUUAAUAAUUUUUUUUAAAGAAGAGAAAGUGUAGAGGCAGCAACUACAUGACUAGGCACCAGCAAAAUAUAGAAAAAAAAGGACAAAAAGAAAUCCAAGCUGACCAGCAGGCUUCUGGCAAGGCAAUGUAGGAGAAUGGGGAAUUGAAGGCAGAAAGAGAAAUGCCUGGGGGAAUGCUUCCGGGGGAGAUACUGACUGUAAUUUGGAGAGUCUGCUUUUGGGAAGCAGCAGGUCAUUCUGGGGAGGUCUCCACCAAGUAGCUAGACUUGUAGGUCUGAAAUUCAGGAGAGAGGUUGAGCCAGACCCAUGCUCUGAGAAAUGAUGGUUGAAGUCAUAAGCUAAAUGUGCGGAGCAAAAAAGAAAGAAGAAAGAAGACCUCAACCAAAGUGUUGACAGGGUCAGGCAUAUCUGAGUGGAAGAAGAAGAGGAGCCAGGCCAGGUACUUGAAGAGGAGCAGCCAGAAAUGUAGGAGAAUCAUCUCUCAACCUCAUAGUCACCAAUGGAAAAGAUAAUUUUUUUAAAAAGGCAUAUGGGCCUGGUGCAGUAGCUCACACCUGUAAUCCCAGCGCUUUGGGAGGCCAAGGUGGGAGAGUUGCUUGAGGUCAGGAGUUCAAGACCAGCCUGGGCAACAUAGGGGAACCCUGUCUCUAGCAAAGUUAUUAUUAUUAUUAUUAUUAUUAUUAUUGGAGAUGGAGUUUCGCUCUUGUCACCUGGGCUGGAGUGCAAUGACACGAUCUCAGCUCACUGCAACCUCCGCCUCCCAGGUUCAAGUGAUUCUCCUGCCUCAGCCUCCCGAGUAGCUGGGAUCACAGGCGCCCACGACCACGCCUGGCUAAUUUUUGUACUUUUACUAGAGACGGGGUUUCACCAUAUUAGCCAUGCUGGUCUCAAACUCCUGACCUCAGGUGAUCCACUCGCCUGGACCUCCCAAAGUGCUGGGAUUACAAGCAUGAGCCACCACACCUGGCCUCUACCAAAAAUUUUAAAAGGCCGGGCUUGGUGGCAUGUGCCUGUAGUCCUAGCUGUUACUCAGGAGGCUGAGACAGGAGGAUUGCUUGAGUCUGGGAGGUUGAGGCUGCAGUGAGCCAUGAUCGCACCACUGCUCUCCAGCCUCAGCAAAAGAAUGAGACCCCAUCUCUAAAAAAUAAUAAACAUAUGUAAAUGGCAUCAAACAGUAAAGAGUUGUUGAAUCAGAAGAAGACUAACAAGAGGCCUUCAGAUGUGGAAAUUAAGUCUUUUUUUUUUUUUAAGAGACAAGUUCUAGCUCUGUCACGCAAUCUGGAGUACGGUGG
rnacentral:lncRNA from 10 species